GCCAGUGUGGUGCAGUGGUUUGAGGGUUGGACUACAACUCUGGAGAGCAGGGUUCAGUUCCCUGCUUGGCA